AUACGGAGGAUGCGAGCGUUAUCCGGAUUUAUUGGGUUUAAAGGGUGCGCAGGCGGGCGAUUAAGUCAGCGGUGAAAGGCUCGGGCUCAACCGGAGCAGUGCCGUUGAUACUGGUUGUCUUGAAUGCGGUCAAGGCCGGCGGAAUGUGGCGUGUAGCGGUGAAAUGCAUAGAUAUGCCACAGAACACCGAUAGCGAAGGCAGCUGGCCGGGCCUGCAUUGACGCUCAGGCACGAAAGCGUGGGGAUCGAACAGGAUUAGAUACCCUGGUAGUCCACGCUGUAAACGAUGGACACUCGUUGUCGGCGACAGACAGUCGGCGGCCAAGCGAAAAUGAUAAGUGUCCCACCUGGGGAGUACGGUCGCAAGGCUGAAACUCAAAUGAAUUGACGGGG
rnacentral:rRNA from 1 species